rnacentral:rRNA from 1 species
CGGUGAACCCUCCUCGGAGGGGGAUCAGUGGCGAACGGGUGAGUAACACGUGAGCAACCUGCCCCUGGCUCUGGGACAACCACUGGAAACGGUGGCUAAUACCGGAUACGACCCACCUCGGCAUCGGGUGUGGGUGGAAAGUUUUUCGGCUGGGGAUGGGCUCGCGGCCUAUCAGCUUGUUGGUGGGGUGAUGGCCCACCAAGGCGACGACGGGUAGCCGGCCUGAGAGGGCGACCGGCCACACUGGGACUGAGACACGGCCCAGACUCCUACGGGAGGCAGCAGUGGGGAAUAUUGCACAAUGGGCGAAAGCCUGAUGCAGCGACGCCGCGUGAGGGAUGACGGCCUUCGGGUUGUAAACCUCUUUCAGCUCCGAAGAAGCGCAAGUGACGGUAGGAGCAGAAGAAGCACCGGCUAACUACGUGCCAGCAGCCGCGGUAAUACGUAGGGUGCAAGCGUUGUCCGGAAUUAUUGGGCGUAAAGAGCUCGUAGGCGGUGUGUCGCGUCUGCUGUGAAAACUCAGGGCUCAACUCUGAGCUUGCAGUGGGUACGGGCACACUUGAGUGCUGUAGGGGAGACUGGAAUUCCUGGUGUAGCGGU